rnacentral:tRNA from 1 species
GGUAGGGUGGCCGAGUUAGGCGGCAAGUUGUAGCCUUGUUUACGGGGCGGUAGUCCCCCCAGCCG